rnacentral:rRNA from 1 species
UACGUAGGGGGCAAGCGUUGUCCGGAUUAUUGGGCGUAAAGAGCGUGUAGGCGGCCAUGUAGGUCCGUUGUGAAAACUCGAGGCUCAAACCUCGGAGACGCCCGAUGGAAACCAUGUGGCUAGAGUCCGGAAGAGGAGAGUGGAAUUCCUGGUGUAGGCGGUGGAAAUGCGCAGAUAUCAGGAGGAACACCAAUUGCGAAGGCAGCUCGCUGGGACGUAACUGACGCUGAGACGCGAAAGCGUGGGAGCAAACAGG